UGGGGUGCGAUUGACGCUGAGGCUCGAAAGUGCGGGAAUCAAACAGGAUUAGAUACCCUGGUAGUCCGCACCGUAAACGAUGAAUGCUCGUUCUGGGCGACACACUGUCCGGGACCAAGGGAAACCAUUAAGCAUUCCACCUGGGGAGUACGCCGGCAACGGUGAAACUCAAAGGAAUUGACGGGGGCCCGCACAAGCGGAGGAACAUGUGGUUUAAUUCGAUGAUACGCGAGGAACCUUACCCGGGCUUGAACUGCUGAGGAAGGAUACAGAGAUGUAGACGCCCUUCGGGGCCUCAGUGGAGGUGCUGCAUGGUUGUCGUCAGCUCGUGCCGUGAGGUGUCGGCUUAAGUGCCAUAACGAGCGCAACCCUUGCUGUCGGUUGCCAUCACGUAGUGGUGGGCACUCCGGCGGGACUGCCAUCGCAAGAUGUGAGGAAGGUGGGGAUGACGUCAAAUCAGCACGGCCCUUACGUCCGGGGCUACACACGUGUUACAAUGGGGGGCACAGCGCGGAGCUACCUGGUGACAGGAUGCGAAUCGUGAAAUCCCCUCUCAGUUCGGACUGGAGUCUGCAACCCGACUCCACGAAGCUGGAUUCG
rnacentral:rRNA from 1 species